rnacentral:rRNA from 1 species
CCUACGGGUGGCAGCAGUGGGGAAUAUUGGACAAUGGGGGGAACCCUGAUCCAGCCAUGCCGCGUGUGUGAAGAAGGCCCUCGGGUUGUAAAGCACUUUCAGUGAGGAAGAACGCCUGGUGGUUAAUACCCAUCAGGAAAGACAUCACUCACAGAAGAAGCACCGGCUAACUCCGUGCCAGCAGCCGCGGUAAUACGGAGGGUGCGAGCGUUAAUCGGAAUUACUGGGCGUAAAGCGCGCGUAGGUGGCUUGAUAAGCCGGUUGUGAAAGCCCCGGGCUCAACCUGGGAACGGCAUCCGGAACUGUCAAGCUAGAGUGCAGGAGAGGAAGGUAGAAUUCCCGGUGUAGCGGUGAAAUGCGUAGAGAUCGGGAGGAAUACCAGUGGCGAAGGCGGCCUUCUGGACUGACACUGACACUGAGGUGCGAAAGCGUGGGUAGCAAACAAGAUUAGAUACCCUGGUAGUC